UCAACCCUGAGGCGUGAUGACGAUGCACUACGGUGCAGAAGUAGUUGAUGCCAAGCUUCCAGGAAAAGCCUCUAAGCAUCAGGUAACACAGAAUCGUACCCCAAACCGACACAGGUGGUCAGGUAGAGAAUACCAAGGCGCUUGAGAGAACUCGGGUGAAGGAACUAGGCAAAAUGGUGCCGUAACUUCGGGAGAAGGCACGCUGGCGCGUAGGUGAAGAGACUUGCUCUCGGAGCUGAAGCCAGUCGCAGAUACCAGCUGGCUGCAACUGUUUAAUAAAAACACAGCACUGUGCAAACACGAAAGUGGACGUAUACGGUGUGACGCCUGCCCGGUGCUGGAAGGUUAAUUGAUGGGGUCAGCCGCAAGGCGAAGCUCUUGAUCGAAGCCCCAGUAAACGGCGGCCGUAACUAUAACGGUCCUAAGGUAGCGAAAUUCCUUGUCGGGUAAGUUCCGACCUGCACGAAUGGCGUAAUGAUGGCCAGGCUGUCUCCACCCGAGACUCAGUGAAAUUGAACUCGCUGUGAAGAUGCAGUGUACCCGCGGCAAGACGGAAAGACCCCGUGAACCUUUACUAUAGCUUGACACUGAACAUUGAGCCUUGAUGUGUAGGAUAGGUGGGAGGCUUUGAAGCGUGGACGCCAGUCUGCGUGGAGCCAACCUUGAAAUACCACCCUUUAAUGUUUGAUGUUCUAACUCGGCCCCGUGAUCCGGGGUGAGGACAGUGUCUGGUGGGUAGUUUGACUGGGGCGGUCUCCUCCCAAAGAGUAACGGAGGAGCACGAAGGUUAGCUAAUCACGGUCGGACAUCGUGAGGUUAGUGCAAAGGCAUAAGCUAGCUUGACUGCGAGAGUGACGGCUCGAGCAGGUACGAAAGUAGGUCUUAGUGAUCCGGUGGUUCUGAAUGGAAGGGCCAUCGCUCAACGGAUAAAAGGUACUCCGGGGAUAACAGGCUGAUACCGCCCAAGAGUUCAUAUCGACGGCGGUGUUUGGCACCUCGAUGUCGGCUCAUCACAUCCUGGGGCUGAAGUAGGUCCCAAGGGUAUGGCUGUUCGCCAUUUAAAGUGGUACGCGAGCUGGGUUUAGAACGUCGUGAGACAGUUCGGUCCCUAUCUGCCGUGGGCGUUGGAAGAUUGAGAGGGGUUGCUCCUAGUACGAGAGGACCGGAGUGAACGCACCACUGGUGUUCGGGUUGUCAUGCCAAUGGCACUGCCCGGUAGCUAAGUGCGGAAAAGAUAAGCGCUGAAAGCAUCUAAGCGCGAAACUUGCCUCGAGAUGAGUCUUCCCUGGGCCUUUAAGGUCCCUGAAGGAACGUUUAAGACUAAGACGUUGAUAGGCUGGGUGUGUAAGUGCAGCGAUGCAUUGAGCUAACCAGUACUAAUGAUCCGUGAGGCUUAACCUUACAACACCGAAGGUGUUUUAG
rnacentral:rRNA from 1 species